ACGAACGCUGGCGGCAUGCCUAACACAUGCCAGUCGAACGAGACCUUCGGGUCUAGUGGCGCACGGGUGCGUAACGCGUGGGAACCUGCCCUUAGGUUCGGAAUAACUCCCCGAAAGGGGUGCUAAUACCGGAUAAUGUCUUCGGACCAAAGAUUUAUCGCCUUUGGAUGGGCCCGCGUUGGAUUAGCUAGUUGGUAGGGUAAAAGCCUACCAAGGCGACGAUCCAUAGCUGGUCUGAGAGGAUGAUCAGCCACACUGGGACUGAGACACGGCCCAGACUCCUACGGGAGGCAGCAGUGGGGAAUAUUGGACAAUGGGCGAAAGCCUGAUCCAGCAAUGCCGCGUGAGUGAUGAAGGCCUUAGGGUUGUAAAGCUCUUUUACCCGGGAUGAUAAUGACAGGACCGGGAGAAUAAGCUCCGGCUAACUCCGU
rnacentral:rRNA from 1 species